rnacentral:rRNA from 1 species
UAGGGAAUCUUCCGCAAUGGGCGAAAGCCUGACGGAGCAACGCCGCGUGAGUGAAGAAGGAUUUCGGUUCGUAAAGCUCUGUUGUUAGGGAAGAAUGAUUGUGUAGUAACUAUACACAGUAGAGACGGUACCUAACCAGAAAGCCACGGCUAACUACGUGCCAGCAGCCGCGGUAAUACGUAGGUGGCAAGCGUUGUCCGGAAUUAUUGGGCGUAAAGCGCGCGCAGGUGGUUUAAUAAGUCUGAUGUGAAAGCCCACGGCUCAACCGUGGAGGGUCAUUGGAAACUAUUAAACUUGAGUGCAGGAGAGAAAAGUGGAAUUCCUAGUGUAGCGGUGAAAUGCGUAGAGAUUAGGAGGAACACCAGUGGCGAAGGCGGCUUUUUGGCCUGUAACUGACACUGAGGCGCGAAAGCGUGGGGAGCAAACAGGAUUAGAUACCCUGGUAGUCCACGCCGUAAACGAUGAGUGCUAAGUGUUGGUCUCAUAAGAGAUCAGUGCUGCAGCUAACGCAUUAAGCACUCCGCCUGGGGAGUACGACCGCAAGGUUG